AACGAACGCUGGCGGCAGGCCUAACACAUGCAAGUCGAACGCUGUAGCAAUACAGAGUGGCAGACGGGUGAGUAACGCGUGGGAACCUUCCCAAUGGUACGGAAUAGCUCAGGGAAACUUGAGGUAAUACCGUAUAAGCCCCUAGGGGGAAAGAUUUAUCGCCAUUGGAUGGGCCCGCGUCGGAUUAGCUAGUUGGUAGGGUAAUGGCCUACCAAGGCAACGAUCCGUAGCUGGUUUGAGAGAAUGACCAGCCACACUGGGACUGAGACACGGCCCAGACUCCUACGGGAGGCAGCAGUGGGGAAUCUUGGACAAUGGGCGCAAGCCUGAUCCAGCCAUGCCGCGUGAGUGACGAAGGCCUUAGGGUUGUAAAGCUCUUUUGCCGGGGACGAUAAUGACGGUACCCGGAGAAUAAGUCCCGGCUAACUUCGUGCCAGCAGCCGCGGUAAAAC
rnacentral:rRNA from 1 species